rnacentral:rRNA from 1 species
AAGUAGGGGAUCGUAAGACCUUGCGCUUUUGGAGUGGCCGAUGCCUGAUUAGCUAGUUGGUGGGGUAAGGGCCUACCAAGGCGACGAUCAGUAGUUGGUCUGAGAGGACGACCAGCCACACUGGGACUGAGACACGGCCCAGACUCCUACGGGAGGCAGCAGUGGGGAAUUUUGGACAAUGGGCGGAAGCCUGAUCCAGCAAUGCCGCGUGAGUGAAGAAGGCCUUCGGGUUGUAAAGCUCUUUCAGUCGAGAAGAAAAGGUUGCGACUAAUAAUCGCAACUUAUGACGGUAUCGACAGAAGAAGCACCGGCUAACUACGUGCCAGCAGCCGCGGUAAUACGUAGGGUGCGAGCGUUAAUCGGAAUUACUGGGCGUAAAGGGUGCGCAGGCGGCUCUGUAAGUCAGAUGUGAAAUCCCCGGGCUUAACCUGGGAAUUGCGUUUGAAACUACAAGGCUUAG